UUGGAGGGCAAGUCUGGUGCCAGCAGCCGCGGUAAUUCCAGCUCCAAUAGCGUAUAUUAAAGUUGUUGCAGUUAAAAAGCUCGUAGUUGAAUUUCGGGAUUAGUACGCUGGUCGUGCCUUCGGUACGUACUGGUGUUACUGAUUCCUACCUUCUGACGAACCAUCAUGUCAUUUAUUUGGUGUGGUGGGGAAUCAGGACUGUCACUUUGAAAAAAUUAGAGUGUUUAAAGCAGGCUCGCGCUUGAAUACAUUAGCAUGGAAUAAUGAAAUAGGACGUUGAUCCUAUUUUGUUGGUUUCUAGGAUUGACGUAAUGAUUAAUAGGGAUAGUUGGGGGCAUUAGUAUUCAAUUGUCAGAGGUGAAAUUCUUGGAUUUAUUGAAGACUAACUACUGCGAAAGCAUUUGCCAAGGAUGUUUUCAUUAAUCAAGAACGAAAGUUAGGGGAUCGAAGACGAUCAGAUACCGUCGUAGUCUUAACCAUAAACUAUGCCGACUAGGGAUCGGAUGAUGUUAUUUUUAAUGACUCAUUCGGCGCCUUACGGGAAA
rnacentral:rRNA from 1 species